CAUUUGGUGCCCGUUUGUGCUCAUUUACUGCCCAUUUGGGCGUGUUUUUUCCCGUUUUUCCCCAUUUUCACCCCGUUUUUGCCCAUUUUCCCCCGUUUUCACCCCAUUUUGGGCCAUUUUGACCUCUUUGGAGCCCAUUUGAGUGCAUUCUGAACCCAUUUCAAGCCCUUUUGGGUGCAUUUAGUGCCCGUUUGUGCUAAUUUAGUGCCCAUUUGGACACGUUUUUUCCCGUUUUUGCCCCGUUUUUUCCCAUUUUCCCCCGUUUUCACCCCAUUUUGGGCCAUUUUAACCUGUUUGGAGCCCAUUUGAGGACAUUUUGGACCAUUCCAUGCCCAUUUGAGUGCAUUUGGUGCCCAUUUGAGUGCAUUUAGUGCCCGUUUGUGCUCAUUUAGUACCCAUUUGUGCGCGUUUUUUCCCGUUUUUCCCCCUUUUU
rnacentral:lncRNA from 1 species